rnacentral:rRNA from 1 species
UACGAAGGGUGCAAGCGUUACUCGGAAUUACUGGGCGUAAAGCGUGCGUAGGCGGUUUGUUAAGUCUGUCGUGAAAUCCCGGGGCUCAACCCCGGAACUGCAUUCGAUACUGCUUUGCUUGAGUACUGGAGAGGAGACUGGAAUUUACGGUGUAGCAGUGAAAUGCGUAGAUAUCGUAAGGAAGACCAGUGGCGAAGGCGAGUCUCUGGACAGUUACUGACGCUGAGGCACGAAGGCCAGGGGAGCAAACGGG